rnacentral:rRNA from 1 species
ACACUAUCAUUAACUGAAUCCAUAGGUUAAUGAGGCGAACCGGGGGAACUGAAACAUCUAAGUACCCCGAGGAAAAGAAAUCAACCGAGAUUCCCCCAGUAGCGGCGAGCGAACGGGGAGCAGCCCAGAGCCUGAAUCAGUAUGUGUGUUAGUGGAAGCGUCUGGAAAGGCGCGCGAUACAGGGUGACAGCCCCGUACACAAAAAUGCACAUGCUGUGAGCUCGAUGAGUAGGGCGGGACACGUGGUAUCCUGUCUGAAUAUGGGGGGACCAUCCUCCAAGGCUAAAUACUCCUGACUGACCGAUAGUGAACCAGUACCGUGAGGGAAAGGCGAAAAGAACCCCGGCGAGGGGAGUGAAAAAGAACCUGAAACCGUGUACGUACAAGCAGUGGGAGCACGCUUAGGCGUGUGACUGCGUACCUUUUGUAUAAUGGGUCAGCGACUUAUAUUCUGUAGCAAGGUUAACCGAAUAGGGGAGCCGAAGGGAAACCGAGUCUUAACUGGGCGUUAAGUUGCAGGGUAUAGACCCGAAACCCGGUGAUCUAGCCAUGGGCAGGUUGAAGGUUGGGUAACACUAACUGGAGGACCGAACCGACUAAUGUUGAAAAAUUAGCGGAUGACUUGUGGCUGGGGGUGAAAGGCCAAUCAAACCGGGAGAUAGCUGGUUCUCCCCGAAAGCUAUUUAGGUAGCGCCUCGUGAAUUCAUCUCCGGGGGUAGAGCACUGUUUCGGCAAGGGGGUCAUCCCGACUUACCAACCCGAUGCAAACUGCGAAUACCGGAGAAUGUUAUCACGGGAGACACACGGCGGGUGCUAACGUCCGUCGUGAAGAGGGAAACAACCCAGACCGCCAGCUAAGGUCCCAAAGUCAUGGUUAAGUGGGAAACGAUGUGGGAAGGCCCAGACAGCCAGGAUGUUGGCUUAGAAGCAGCCAUCAUUUAAAGAAAGCGUAAUAGCUCACUGGUCGAGUCGGCCUGCGCGGAAGAUGUAACGGGGCUAAACCAUGCAC